CCUACGGGAGGCAGCAGUAGGGAAUAUUGCUCAAUGGGGGAAACCCUGAAGCAGCAACGCCGCGUGGAGGAUGAAGGUUUUCGGAUUGUAAACUCCUUUUGUUAGAGAAGAUAAUGACGGUAUGUAACGAAUAAUCACCGGCUAACUCCGUGCCAGCAGCCGCGGUAACACGGAGGGUGCAAGCGUUACUCGGAAUCACUGGGCGUAAAGAGCGCGUAGGCGGGAUAGCAAGUCAGAUGUGAAAUCCUAUGGCUUAACCAUAGAACUGCAUUUGAAACUGUUAGUCUAGAGUAUGGGAGAGGUAGGUGGAAUUCUUGGUGUAGGGGUAAAAUCCGUAGAGAUCAAGAGGAAUACUCAUUGCGAAGGCGACCUGCUAGAACAUAACUGACGCUGAUGCGCGAAAGCGUGGGGAGCAAACAGGAUUAGAUACCCCAGUAGUC
rnacentral:rRNA from 1 species